rnacentral:tRNA from 1 species
GCCUCUGUGGCGGAACUGGUAGACGCGGCAGACUCAAAAUCUGUUGUUCGCAAGAACGUGCUGGUUCGAUUCCGGCCAGGGGCACCA